GACGAACCGUGCGAACGUUGUUCGGAAUCACUGGGCUUAAAGGGAGCGUAGGCGGGCUAUCAAGUCUGGGGUGAAAUCCCACGGCUCAACCGUGGAACUGCCUCAGAUACUGACGGCCUCGAGGGAGAUAGGGGCAUGCGGAACUGUAGGUGGAGCGGUGAAAUGCGUUGAUAUCUACAGGAACUCCGGUGGCGAAAGCGGCGUGCUGGAUCUCUUCUGACGCUGAGGCUCGAAAGCUAGGGGAGCAAACGGG
rnacentral:rRNA from 1 species